AUUGAACGCUGGCGGCAGGCCUAACACAUGCAAGUCGAGCGGAUGAAGGGAGCUUGCUCCUGGAUUCAGCGGCGGACGGGUGAGUAAUGCCUAGGAAUCUGCCUGGUAGUGGGGGAUAACGUCCGGAAACGGGCGCUAAUACCGCAUACGUCCUGAGGGAGAAAGUGGGGGAUCUUCGGACCUCACGCUAUCAGAUGAGCCUAGGUCGGAUUAGCUAGUUGGUGGGGUAAAGGCCUACCAAGGCGACGAUCCGUAACUGGUCUGAGAGGAUGAUCAGUCACACUGGGACUGAGACACGGUCCAGACUCCUACGGGAGGCAGCAGUGGGGAAUAUUGGACAAUGGGCGAAAGCCUGAUCCAGCCAUGCCGCGUGUGUGAAGAAGGUCUUCGGAUUGUAAAGCACUUUAAGUUGGGAGGAAGGGCAGUAAGUUAAUACCUUGCUGUUUUGACGUUACCAACAGAAUAAGCACCGGCUAACUUCAUG
rnacentral:rRNA from 1 species